AUUAGAUCCAUGGAUGGAUGUUGUUGUUUAUUCUUCAAUGUGUUUUCCCAUUUGUUAUCUACGAGAUUUAUCAGCUAAUGAGAGAGGAGUGGUAACAUCAGCACCUCUAAUUGUGGAUUUUUCUUUUCAGAUUUAUCAGCGUUUAUAAAUGGAUUUUGAAGUUCUGUAUCCAGAGGCAUGCACAUAUAGGACAGUUAUUUCUUUGUGUACUGCUCUCCACUUCAUUAUUCAAUCUUCUGAACAGCUCAAAGUACAGGAAAUGUCAAGGCCGUUGAUGGGAAAUCAGGACUCUACUAAAGGCACGUCUUCUCAAAGAUGACCCAGGGAAGAGCACGGUGGCUACCUAUUCCUCUGAAAGGGAAAGGAGGUGAAAGCCCAUGGGAAAACUGUAGUGCCACCACCAUCUCCCAUUCCAAAUUUUCCAGGACAGAAGAGAACACGUCUAAGUUGGGAGGACCGAUCCAGAACAGCCUUGCUAAUGUAACACAGCAAUCUCUUAAUUAUUAUCUGCUUUUGAAAAAGAAACCAAAAAACACCACCACACAUGGGAUUAUCUCUAGUUCUUUUUACAUGAGGGCUUCUAGAAGAAGGAGGUGUGAUUAUUUCUUCUGAAUCCUCGAAGGCAUAAGAAAGCACUCCCUGUUUCCGCUCGGUUUUGAACCAAGGACCUCUCGCGUGUCAGAGAGGGAGUUCGUGAGAGGGGUCUGCGAGCCUGACCAC
rnacentral:lncRNA from 1 species